AGACAACUGGGAACUCGGAAAAAAACGAGAUCAAAUCGUCCGUGAUCAUAAGGUCGGAAAUUCGGAGCUAUAAAAAGAGGCACAAAUUCCUGACUUGGAAUUCGGAUUUGGAUGACCGUUCAAACUAACUUUCCCAGUCGGAGCUCGUUUUUUCCGAGUUCCCUGUUAUCGUGAACGCAUUGCCGGCGAUUUCCGAGCUCCAGUUGGAGCGCUUCUGUUGGGAUGACGUUUGUUGUCUCCUCUUCAAAAAGCGUGUCCACUCCUACAACCCGUCCUAGUACGCCAUACUCCGACACUGAUCAUUUAUUAGUCUAGUCAUUUGUUUUGAGUUUGAGAGGAGAAAUGAUGAUGAUGAUCAAGUCUGGGUCUGAGGCUCCCAUUCAAUCAGAGGAGAGCGAGACGCAGAAGCAUGGAUUUGGGAAAUGGUUUCCAGAAACGCACAGACCAUGUAGCACACUCAGAAAACGAUGGGGGCUACAUUUCAACAGAUCCUUGCAAUAUCACCGAGUGGACCAAUGUUCCCAAGGCAGUUGAUCUGCCAAACACACCUCUGACGGCUUCUCCCUGUGCUGACCACCGAUGGACCUUACACAUGAGAACUGCCGUUGAUGGGCUCCUGGCCAAGCAACACAGGGAGAAAGACAUCCUGACGCGGGUGGAUGGGACAUACAGCUCUACCACCAGUGUCAUGACUGUGUCAUUAGCUGCCACAGCUAAACUAAUUUACUAAUGUUUACUGCACCAUAUAGUAUUUUUUUUUUUCUCUCCAUACAAGAUCUAGGGCAACUGUGCCUCAGUGGUUGGCUAAGCUCCUUCCUGGUUGGCCCUGUCCGUUGAACAGCACCAGUGUCUCACAACUCCUCUGUCUCAGUCACCAGUAAUUAUGCUGCAAUAGUUUGUGCCAGGGGCUAGGGUCAUUUUUUUCUUAUCUGGUGUACUGUGUGUUCUUAGGCAUACUCCCACUAAUCCCCCACAUUUGUCAAUAACAGCUUCGACACAUCAUAGCAACAUGCUUGACUGAAAAUCUUUAAACAUGUAUAUAGACUAAGGUGGAGGCUGCUGAGGGGAGGGCGGCUCAUAAUAAUGGCUGGAAUGGAGUCAAUGGAAUGGUAUCAAAUGUGAUUUCCAUGUGGUUGAUACCAUUCCAUUGAAUCCAUUACUGUGAGCCGUCCUCCUCUCAGCAGCCUCCACUGAUAGACUUUAUGGGGGUGAUGCUGUUGCCCAUCAAAUUUCAUAUAUUAUGUCAAAGUUCUCAAUUAGGAAGAUGAUGUUCAGAAUGACAUGUUCAUGACUGUUGAUGUUUACAGGACUCUCCAAUGCUAUGUUGAAUGAGCACCAGAGAGGGAGGGAGAGGGAAAACAGAUAGCUUCUCGCUACCACACCUUCACCAAGUCAUCCAAUUUUUGCUUCAUUUUCUAAAAUAAAUACAGAAUUAAUUUUAGUUCUAAUAGUUUUUUAGGCUAGAUGUGAGUUAAUUUAGCAGGUCUAUAUUGUUUUGGAAUGUUAUUAAAUAUAUACUCAGUCACAAGUCAUUGCCUUUUAAAAUAUUUGCUGAAACAGUCAUUGGUUUUGGGCUAUGAUCUGUAAAUGUCUACGACCCUUUUUAAAAAGUUGAGUGAAAUGAUUUGUUUUGCUACUGUCUGGUGAGGAAGUGGGCAAUAUGUAAUCAGUUUAUGGAUGUAUAAAUGGAGGGCAUCUGUAAAAGACAUGGACAACGUCAGGAAAUAAGCAGGUAAAUGUAGAGGUUGUCAAUGACCAACGGUGCAGAGAAAUAAUAUAUAUAUAUAUAUAUAUAUAUAUAGUAUGUAUGUGGACACCCCUUCAAAUUAGUGGUUUCAGCUAUUUCAGCCACACCUGUUGCUGACAGGUGUAUAAAAUUGAGCACACCGUCAUGCAAUCUCCAUAGACAAACAUUGGCAGUAGAAUGGCCUUACUGAAGAGCUGUGACUUUCGACGUGGCACUGUCAUAGGAUGGCAAGUCCAACAAGUCCGUUUGUAAAAUGUCUGCCCUAGUCAACUGUAAGUGCUGUUAUUGUGAAGUGGAAACAUCUAGGAGCAACAACGGCUUAGUCAUGAAGUGGUAGGACACAAGCUCACAUAACGGGACCGCCGAGUGCUGAAGCGAGAAAAAAUUGUCUGUCCUCGGUUGCAACACUUACUACCAAGUUCCAAACUGCCUCUGGAAGCAACGUCAGCACAAGAACUGUUCGUCGGGAGCUUCAUGAAAUGGGCUUCCAUGGCCGAGCAGCUGCACACAAGCUUUAGAUCACUGCCAUUGGAUUCUGGAGCAGUGUAAAUUCGUUCUCUGGAGUGAUGAAUCACGCUUCACCAUCUGGCAGUCCGACGGACAAAUGUGGGUUUGGCGGAUACCAGGAGAACGCUACCUGCCAGAAUGCAUAGUGCCAACUGUAAAGUUAGGUGGAGGAGGAAUAAUGGUCUGGGGCUGUUUAUCAUGAUUCAUGCUUGGUCUCUUAGUUCCAGUGACGGAAAUCUUAAUGCUACAGCAUAAAAUGACAUUCUAUACGAUUCUUUCCAACUUUGUGGCUCCUGUUUCAACAUGACAAUGCCCACGUGUACAAGCCAGGUCCAUACAGAAAUGGUUUGUCGAGAUCGGUGUAGAACUUUACUGGCCUGCACAGAGCCCUGACCUCAACUCCAUCGAACACCUUUGGUAUGAAUUGGAAUGCGGACUGAGAGUCAAGCCUAAUUGCCCAACAUCAGUGCCCGGCCUAACUGGCUGAAUUGAAGCAAGUCCCCGCAUCAGUGUUCCAGAGUGGAGGCUGUUAUAGCAGCGAAGUCCAUGACUUUGGAAUGAGAAAUUCGACGAGCAGGAGUCCACUUACUUUUGGUCAUGUAGUGUAUGUUAGCUGGACGUGGCUAGCUAGCUGUUUUCAAAACAUUGGACCAACUUGAGCAAUGAGAUCCCAGCUUGCUACUGUAGAUAGCGUAGCCUAACCAAAUAUACACCUUAGAAAACAAUUUAGUAAAAUACUGUUAGCUUCAACUAACAUAACAAGUACAUAGACCUAUUUCUCUGUAAAACAACGUUAGAUCCAGUCUGACAUUAGCCAGAAGGUUCUGAUUCUAGCUAGCAUCAGCUUUGUAGUGGUUAUACUAUGUUGAAACACUCAUUUUAAAAAUGUUUUCCACAAGCGUAUUGCUGUAGAUUUUAAAUUCUGUAAAUGUAAUUUAGCAAUUUUAACAAAAUCUCCUGUUGGCUGCCUGACAUCGCACCCGAAACGGCUUCCCCGGUAUGAAGAGCGGUUGGAACUUUCGAGCGUGGAAUGUGCAUUGGAGGGUAAUGCAUCCUUCUCUUUACAUGUCCUUAUAAUUCGAAAGAUUGCUCAGAAAACCAGGUGUUUUAAACGGCGUAUGCCUUACGAUUAUUAACAUAAUCAGAGUAAGGUGUUUACAUGGCUAAUUACAUACUCGGCCAUCUGUCAUAAUCAGUUUAAUAUCGAUUUUUUUUUGGUGAAUCGUUUCAUGAACAUUGUGCAGUACUGUACUCGGCCUCUAGGAUGUGUCAUUGACUCACAUUAGGUCCUUAGGCGCACACUGCGUCCAUACG
rnacentral:lncRNA from 1 species